AUUGGAAUGUCAAUUUUUUUCACUAUUUGUUUUGCAGCUAGACAUCGUUGUAGUAUCUGGAAACGUGGAACUAAUCGCGCUUUAAGAAAGGCCCAUAAACGAUAUAACAAUCAAGCCAUUGGGCUAAUGAAACAUAAAUUCCGUUCGUUGUCGUUGACUAAUUGCUUAUCUCAGCUCAGGAUGUUUCUCAACAAUAAGAGCAGCAUACCGAGCAAGACUUUGACAGGGCUGGAUGGAUUAAUGCUUGGAUGGCAUUUUAAAAUCACAUAAGAGUAUGGAAUAAAGGGAGCACAAAUGUAUCCAAUAAAGCGAUAAUUUUGAA